rnacentral:rRNA from 1 species
UUCCGGUUGAUCCCGCCGGACCCGACUGCUAUCAGAGUGGGACUAAGCCAUGCGAGUCAACAUAGCAAUAUGUGGCAUACGGCUCAGUAACACGUAGUCAACAUGCCCAGGGGACGUGGAUAACCUCGGGAAACUGAGGAUAAACCGCGAUAGGUCAUCACUUCUGGAAUGGGUAAUGACUUAAAUCUAUAUGGCCCCUGGAUUGGACUGCGGCCGAUCAGGCUGUUGGUGAGGUAAUGGCCCACCAAGCCUGUAACCGGUACGGGCUCUGAGAGGAGGAGCCCGGAGAUGGGCACUGAGACAAGGGCCCAGGCCCUAUGGGGCGCAGCAGGCGCGAAACCUCUGCAAUAGGCGAAAGCUUGACAGGGUUACUCUGAGUGAUUUCCGUUAAGGAGAUCUUUUGGCACCUCUAAAAAUGGUGCAGAAUAAGGGGUGGGCAAGUCUGGUGUCAGCCGCCGCGGUAAUACCAGCACCCCGAGUGGUCGGGACGUUUAUUGGGCCUAAAGCAUCCGUAGCCGGUUCUGCAAGUCUUCCGUUAAAUCCACCUGCUUAACAGAUGGGCCGCGGAAGAUACUAUAGAGCUAGGAGGCGGGAGAGGCAAGCGGUACUCGAUGGGUAGGGGUAAAAUCCGUUGAUCCAUUGAAGACCACCAGUGGCGAAGCGGCUUGCCAGAACGCGCUCGACGGUGAGGGAUGAAAGCUGGGGGAGCAAACCGGAUUAGAUACCCGGGUAGUCCCAG